UACGUAGGGUGCGAGCGUUAAUCGGAAUUACUGGGCGUAAAGCGUGCGCAGGCGGUUGCUUAAGACCGAUGUGAAAUCCCCGGGCUUAACCUGGGAACUGCAUUGGUGACUGGCAGGCUAGAGUAUGGCAGAGGGGGGUAGAAUUCCACGUGUAGCAGUGAAAUGCGUAGAGAUGUGGAGGAAUACCGAUGGCGAAGGCAGCCCCCUGGGCCAAUACUGACGCUCAUGCACGAAAGCGUGGGGAGCAAACAGG
rnacentral:rRNA from 1 species